AUUAAUCCAUCUUUUUCGAGAAGUCGACAAAUCUUUCAAAAGAAUGUAUUUUGUGGUUAUAUGGAGUAAAUGGUGUGCUACUAUACCUGCAUCCUGAAUUCUUUUAAAAUCCCGCAGUUUUCGAUGGCCACCAAAAAAUAAAAGUGCUACUACUGAAAGCAAAAAAGGUUCAUCACCUCGUAUCGAUUGGCAUACAAUAACUUAUUCUAAACUUUUAGGACCUUUUGCAACCUACAAUGAAGCCAGAAAGAUUGAACAAAAAUCUAUGGACAUUUCUACCAACGAUGAAGAAGCAUUUGUAGAAAUAACUAAAAAAGUAAAUAAUAAAUUACCAGAUAAGCAAACAAUAAUCAAACCUAAACGCUUUGAUUUUUCGGAAUCGGAAGAUGAAGAAAAUUCAUGUAUGUUUUUAUUUUCUUUACAUAAUUUUUUUAUAUAUUUAAUUAAAAUACGAAUGGUA